rnacentral:rRNA from 1 species
GACGAACGCUGGCGGCGUGCUUAACACAUGCAAGUCGAGCGGAAAGGCCCCUUUGGGGUACUCGAGCGGCGAACGGGUGAGUGACACGGGAGUAAGCUGCCCUUCACUUUGUGAUAACCCCCGGAAACGGGAGCUAAUACCGGAUACGACCGGCGACCGCAUGGUUUGUUGGUGGGAACUUUUUUGGGUGGGGGAUGUGCUCGCGGCCUAUCAGCUUGUUGGUGGGGUAAUGGCCUACCAAGGCUUUGACGGGUAGCCGGCCUGAGAGGGUGACCGGCCACACUGGGACUGAGACAUGGCCCAGUCUCCUACGGGAGGCAGCAGUGGGGAAUAUUGGACAAUGGGCGGAAGCCUGAUCCAGCAACGCCGCGUGAGGGAUGACGGCCUUCGGGUUGUAAACCUCUUUCAGCACCGACGAAGCGUGAGUGACGGUAGGUGCAGAAGAAGGACCGGCCAACUACGUGCCAGCAGCCGCCGUAAGAC